rnacentral:rRNA from 1 species
UACGGAGGGUGCAAGCGUUAUCCGGAUUUACUGGGUUUAAAGGGUGUGUAGGCGGGCUUUUAAGUCAGUGGUGAAGUCUCCGAGCUCAACUUGGAAACUGCCAUUGAUACUAUUAGUCUUGAAUUCUGUUGAGGUAGGCGGAAUAAGUCAUGUAGCGGUGAAAUGCUUAGAUAUGACUUAGAACACCAAUUGCGAAGGCAGCUUACUAAACAGAUAUUGACGCUGAGGCACGAAAGCGUGGGGAUCAAACAGG